GGGUGUUUGUUUUCCCUCUCGUCUUCUUCUCCAAAACCAAUCAACACCUCGAAAACCAAAACCCUAAUCCUCUUUUUUCUUAUCUUCUGUGUUGCGAAAUCACCGCAAUAUCAUCUGUAGUACUACCACCAUGUCAAGUAACGAAGACGACCUCGAUCUUCUCCUUUCUCUUCAAGACAAAGUUCCCGAAACCCCUCCUGCUUCUCCUUCACCGCUUGAUUUUGAUGGCGAUGACGAUGUUGUACCGCGGAGGGAGAGACCUGAUAUGUCCGUUUUCAAAGAUGCAGUUCAGGAUUGUCUUCUCGACCAACCCCCUAACCCUAACCCUAACCCUAAACCUAAACCAUCCAACAAAUCACUCGGCGACGAUCCCCAACUUGACAAGUUCUCAGGUCUUCGCAUAAGGGAUCAAUGUUUAACACCAGCUGAGCUCAGGGAAUCUGUUCAAGACAUUCGCUUUGUUCGCCUACCGGUCAUCAAGUAAUCUUCUUCACCUCGUUUUCUAUUUAUGGGUUCUUGUGCGAGAGAGUUCUGUUUAUGGAGUAUAGAACGAAUCUCUCCUACUGUUCUUCUAUCUUCUUUUUCUACACUUUCUUGAACGUAGAAAAAAAAGCAGAGAGAUGAUUCAAGGUUGAUGGAGAGCUUCAUUUUCUGGUUGGUGAAGAUCAUGGAAUUCAGUUCAGUGUUAUUUGGAUUGAAGGUUGAAUUCCGUUGUUCUGUUAGGGUGAUGGUGAAGGAGCUCAACAGAGUUGCAGGUUUGAGUUUCGACAGUGAAGAAGAUUGGCUUUGGCCAUUGUUGCUUUGGACGGUGAAGAAGAUUGAAGCAUAUGCAAGAAUCGAAACUCUAUUGAAGAGUAAAAGGUGAAGUUGAAGAUGAACCAAUCUGUUGAAGAUGUAGGAAGCUCCAACCUUCUGCAGAAUGAAGGUUGAUCUGUUAUAUAGAGUAUGGGGAUCGUAACCGAAUCGGGCAUGGAGUCGGUCAGGUUUUUUACACGUUGGGCAGGGUUAGUUAGCCCUUGUUAGAUUGAAAAGAAAUUAGUUAAGACUCUCAAAAAGCUCUUCUAGUUUCCAAUAGAUUAGGUUGCAGAGGGUGCAAAAAGUGCUGGUGCAUCACGGGUUAUUGGCAUAGAUAUUGAUAGCAACAAGUAUGAUACAGAUACAACCCUAUUGCUGGCAUUGGCUGGAAAAUUGGAUGCUGAAUUGAGGGUAAAAGGAGAAAUUACUUACAAUGGACACAAACUUAAUGAAUUUGUGCCAAGAAAAACUUCAGCAUAUAUUAGUCAAAAUGAUGUUCAUGUUGGAGAAA